rnacentral:rRNA from 1 species
UCCGAGUGGUUUCUGCUAAAGAAACCUUUUGUCAGUCCUAGAAACACUAACGAAUAAGGGGUGGGCAAGUUCUGGUGUCAGCCGCCGCGGUAAAACCAGCACCUCAAGUGGUCAGGAUGAUUAUUGGGCCUAAAGCAUCCGUAGCCCGUUUUGUAAGUUUUCGGUUAAAUCCAUGCGCUUAACGUAUGGGCUGCCGGGAAUACUGCAUAACUAGGAAGUGGGAGAGGUAGACGGUACUCGGUAGGAAGGGGUAAAAUCCUUUGAUCUAUUGAUGACCACCUGUGGCGAAGGCGGUCUACCAGAACACGUUCGACGGUGAGGGAUGAAAGCUGGGGGAGCAAACCGGAUUAGAUACCCGGGUAGUCCCAGCUGUAAACUAUGCAAACUCAGUGAUGCAUUGGCUUGUGGCCAAUGCAGUGCUGCAGGGAAGCCGUUAAGUUUGCCGCCUGGGAAGUACGUACGCAAGUAUGAAACUUAAAGGAAUUGGCGGGGGAGCACCACAAGGGGUGAAGCCUGCGGUUCAAUUGGAGUCAACGCCAGAAAUCUUACCCGGAGAGACAGCAGAAUGAAGGUCAAGCUGAAGACUUUACCAGACAAGCUGAGAGGUGGUGCAUGGCCGUCGCCAGCUCGUGCCGUGAGAUGUCCUGUUAAGUCAGGUAACGAGCGAGAUCCCUGCCUCUAGUUGCCACCAU